rnacentral:rRNA from 1 species
AGAAGAAAGGCUGAAAUGCCAACGGACCUCUGUCUAUUCUCUAAUUCACCCGAUCCGAUAGUACCCAUUUUUGGAACGUCGAGUGCCAAAGUCACUGAAUGGGUAAGUCACCAAUCCAAUCCCUUUGACAAAUCAGAUGUCAUAUUAGAUAUCAUAUUCUAUAUAUAUAUAUAUCAUAGAUAG